UAGGGAAUAUUGGUCAAUGGGUGAGAGCCUGAACCAGCCAUGCCGCGUGCAGGAAGAAGGCCUUCUGGGUUGUAAACUGCUUUUGCCAGGGGAUAAAAUAGCUUUGCGAAGCAAAUUGAAGGUACCUGGUGAAUAAGCCACGGCUAACUACGUGCCAGCAGCCGCGGUAAUACGUAGGUGGCAAGCGUUGUCCGGAUUUAUUGGGUUUAAAGGGUGCGUAGGCGGUUCUAUAAGUCAGUGGUGAAAUACUCCGGCUCAACCGGAGAGGUGCCAUUGAUACUGCAGGACUUGAGUACAGACGAGGUAGGCGGAAUUGACGGUGUAGCGGUGAAAUGCUUAGAUAUCGUCAAGAACACCGAUAGCGAAGGCAGCUUACUAGACUGUAACUGACGCUGAGGCACGAAAGUGUGGGGAUCAAACAGGGUUAGAUACCCCUGUAGUCCCUGAGCGGGCUGGCAAGGCGC
rnacentral:rRNA from 1 species